rnacentral:rRNA from 1 species
AUGAACGCUAGCUACAGGCUUAACACAUGCAAGUCGAGGGGCAGCAUGAACUUAGCUUGCUAAGUUUGAUGGCGACCGGCGCACGGGUGAGUAACACGUAUCCAACCUGCCGAUGACUCGGGGAUAGCCUUUCGAAAGAAAGAUUAAUACCCGAUGGCAUAGUUCUUCCGCAUGGUAGAACUAUUAAAGAAUUUCGGUCAUCGAUGGGGAUGCGUUCCAUUAGGUUGUUGGCGGGGUAACGGCCCACCAAGCCUUCGAUGGAUAGGGGUUCUGAGAGGAAGGUCCCCCACAUUGGAACUGAGACACGGUCCAAACUCCUACGGGAGGCAGCAGUGAGGAAUAUUGGUCAAUGGACGAGAGUCUGAACCAGCCAAGUAGCGUGAAGGAUGACUGCCCUAUGGGUUGUAAACUUCUUUUAUACGGGAAUAAAGUGAGGCACGUGUGCCUUUUUGUAUGUACCGUAUGAAUAAGGAUCGGCUAACUCCGUGCCAGCAGCCGCGGUAAUACGGAGGAUCCGAGCGUUAUCCGGAUUUAUUGGGUUUAAAGGGAGCGUAGGCGGACGCUUAAGUCAGUUGUGAAAGUUUGCGGCUCAACCGUAAAAUUGCAGUUGAUACUGGGUGUCUUGAGUACAGUAGAGGCAGGCGGAAUUCGUGGUGUAGCGGUGAAAUGCUUAGAUAUCACGAAGAACUCCGAUUGCGAAGGCAGCUUGCUGGACUGUAACUGACGCUGAUGCUCGAAAGUGUGGGUAUCAAACAGGAUUAGAUACCCUGGUAGUCCACACAGUAAACGAUGAAUACUCGCUGUUUGCGAUAUACAGUAAGCGGCCAAGCGAAAGCGUUAAGUAUUCCACCUGGGGAGUACGCCGGCAACGGUGAAACUCAAAGGAAUUGACGGGGGCCCGCACAAGCGGAGGAACAUGUGGUUUAAUUCGAUGAUACGCGAGGAACCUUACCCGGGCUUGAAUUGCAACUGAAUGAUGUGGAGGCAUGUCAGCCGGAAGGCAGUUGUGAAGGUGCUGCAUGGUUGUCGUCAGCUCGUGCCGUGAGGUGUCGGCUUAAGUGCCAUAACGAGCGCAACCCUUAUCGAUAGUUACCAUCAGGUUAUGCUGGGGACUCUGUCGAGACUGCCGUCGUAAGAUGUGAGGAAGGUGGGGAUGACGUCAAAUCAGCACGGCCCUUACGUCCGGGGCUACACACGUGUUACAAUGGGGGGUACAGAAGGCAGCUACACGGCGACGUGAUGCUAAUCCCGAAAGCCUCUCUCAGUUCGGAUUGGAGUCUGCAACCCGACUCCAUGAAGCUGGAUUCGCUAGUAAUCGCGCAUCAGCCACGGCGCGGUGAAUACGUUCCCGGGCCUUGUACACACCGCCCGUCACACCAUGAGAGUUGGGGAUACCCGAAGCCUGUGAGCCAACAUAUCUAUGAGGCAGCAGUCGAAGGUAGAAUCAAUGAUUGGGGUG